rnacentral:lncRNA from 1 species
UUUAAACUCAGAAAAAUUUGAAAAAACCUUAAACAUUCAGUUCUAAAAGUAGGCAGAAUAGUAUCAAGUUCUGCUGUUUCUGUGGUAAGAAAUGGAUAAAGGGAAGCCAGGUUUUUGAGGACUAGAAAGGAUUUGUUUUUCAAAACUGUACAGUCCUGUACUAUUUCGAUUCCCUACUCUUCCAAAAAGCAAAAAAGUUUUAAAAUGGUAUCCUUCUAGCUACUCUCUAGUCUUAAAAUUAAACCUCCCAAAUAUAUGAAUUCUG